AUUGAACGCUGGCGGAAUGCUUUACACAUGCAAGUCGAACGGCAGCACGGACUUCGGUCUGGUGGCGAGUGGCGAACGGGUGAGUAAUGUAUCGGAACGUGCCCAGUCGUGGGGGAUAACGUAGUGAAAAUUACGCUAAUACCGCAUACGAUCUAUGGAUGAAAGCGGGGGAUCGCAAGACCUCGCGCGAUUGGAGCGGCCGAUAUCAGAUUAGGUAGUUGGUGGGGUAAAGGCCCACCAAGCCAACGAUCUGUAGCUGGUCUGAGAGGACGGCCAGCCACACUGGAACUGAGAGACGGUCCAGACUCCUACGGGAGGCAGCAGUGGGGAAUUUUGGACAAGGGGCGAAAGCCUGAUCCAGCCAUUCCGCGUGCAGGAUGAAGGCCCUCGGGUUGUAAACUGCUUUUGUACAGAACGAAAAGGUUUCUACUAAUACUAGGAGCUCAUGACGGUACUGUAAGAAUAAGCACCGGCUAACUACGUGCCAGCCGCCGCCGUAA
rnacentral:rRNA from 1 species